ensembl:lncRNA
CUCACUCCAACGCCGGCCAUAAGUUCUGCAUGCCUAAAAUUUCAGGAAGGUCACAUCAAUAGGUCAGCAUGGCCAGAGUUUCAGAAAACAAAGAUAUUUCGUAAGAAGAGGAAUUAAUUCCAGCUCACAGUGAGAACAUUACAAGAGAAGCAAGUUCAUUGUGAAGGGCAAUCAGAUAGAUCCUGACCUCCUGAAUUUGGAAGAAGCCAGAAUGUCAUUGGGCUGCUCUCAAGCUGUUCUCCACCAAGCCUGUGUUUGUGCUCGGGAUUGCCCACUCCCAGGUGCAGGACCUUGCAUUUGGCCUAGCUGAACUUGCUGAGGUUGGCAUGGGCCCACUUCUUAAACCUGUCCAGGUUCCUCUGGAUGGCAUCCAGUAAUGAGAACUAUUUCCAUUGAUCUGCUGAGAGACUGCACCUCAAGCCUUUAUACGUUCAUAUUUAAAGGACUUUUAGUGGAAGUUUCCUGGAUGGCCUUGGAUGUCAGGACAGAAGGUAAAGCAUCCACAGCUUUGUUCAUCCUUGGCAACUACUCAGAGAAGCCAUGAGCUGCACUUGGCCUUUUCUUUCCCAUUGGAUUGUACUUACCCAAGCAUAGUCCCCAGGCAAGGCAAUUUUGUGGUAAAUCCAUGCCAUCAGUAGCACACAGCAAGCACAGUACCAAAUGCCUGUGACUCCAUGUGCAUGAGGGCUCAGCAAGAGUCUUCAUCUGCAU